rnacentral:rRNA from 1 species
AACGUAGGUACCGAGCGUUAUCCGGAUUUACUGGGCGUAAAGCGCGUUCAGGCGGCUUGACAAGUCGGGCAUGAAAUCUCUCGGCUCAACCGGGAGGGGCUGUCCGAUACUGUCGGGCUUGAGGGCAGUAGAGGGUGGUGGAAUUCCGGGUGUAGUGGUGAAAUGCGUAGAUAUCCGGAGGAACACCAGUGGCGAAGGCGAGUCUCUGGGCUGUUACUGACGCUGAGGCGCGAAAGCCAGGGGAGCAAACGGG